CCCUUAGAUGUCCUGGGCCGCACGCGCGUUACACUGAUGCAUUCAACGAGCUUAUAACCUUGGCCGAGAGGCCUGGGCAAUCUUGUUAACGUGCAUCGUGAUAGGGAUAGAUUAUUGAAAUUAUUAAUCUUGAACGAGGAAUUCCUAGUAAACGCAGAUCAUCAAUCUGCAUUGAUUACGUCCCUGCCCUUUGUACACACCGCCCGUCGCUACUACCGAUUGGAUGGUUUAGUGAGAUCCUCGGAUUGGUCCCGGCGCGGCCUCUGGUCGUGCCGGAGUGCCGAAAAGAAUGUCGAACUUGAUCAUCUAGAGGAAGUAAAAGUCGUAACA
rnacentral:rRNA from 1 species